rnacentral:rRNA from 1 species
UAAUUAAGCGGAGGAAAAGACACUAACCAGGAUUGACUCAGUAAGGGCGACUGAAGCGUCAWSAGCUCACCAUGUGAAUCUGCACUUCUGGGUGUWGAAUUGUGGUCUGGAGACUCUUGCAUUUUAUGGCCGGGCCAAGUUCCUUGGAACGGGGCAGCUCAGAGGGUGAAACUCCCGUCUGCCUGGCCUUGACAGYGAGAGUUGUGGAGUCGAGUUGUUUGGGAUUGCAGCUCAAAGUGGGUGGUAAAUUCCAUCGAAAGCUAAAUAUYGGUGGAAGACCGAUAGCGAACAAGUACCGUGAGGGAAAGAUGCAAAGAACUUUGAAAAGAGAGUUAAARAGUACCUGAAAUUGCUGGAAAGGAAGCRAAGGAAAYCAGUGUUGRCUGCGCCAUACUUCCCUGCUCGCUUGCGGUUAGGGCGCUGUGGCCAGYGUAGUCCCUUUUAAUUGGCUUGUGUGGAAGUAUUGCCAAGGACGACGUUCUUGGUGUAUUGCAUUCUAGUUGAUUGAUGGGUACGAAAUGGUUUUCUUUUCCCCG